AGCUAAAAGGCGUGCAUUAAAGACUCAGAGGAACUUCAAGUUGGGAUGCCUAUCUCCCCGUCGAGCUAAUCCCCAUGGAUUAGGCUUGAAUGCUAAUGUACCAAAAUCAAUAGUGAAUCCUACAGAGGUAGCUCCUCUGACAAAUGAAGACGACGACAGAGAUUUUUUUAUCGAAAUUUAUAACAAAGAAAGGGAAGAGAUGGCUGAUACCAUUAGUAAAAACACAAACUCGGCAGAUGAUCUAGUAACUUCGAAUGAAGGCAGUGAAGUGGCAGCAGAUGAUACAGAGGGCAAUCUUGAUCAAAAGAGAGAAGAUAUUUCAGCAGAAAUUAACAUCCUUGGCUUCUCUCUUGCAGAGAAUCUAAAUGAAGGUGCUACUGAAGAGGCAGAUUGUGAAUCCUUGAGUAUGCAUAGUGAAUUAGAUAUAGAAGAGCCUGAAGCUUCCGAUAUGGACUGGGAUGUAGAGAAGUACUAUGCAAACAGCAAAGGCGAAACAGGUUCAAUCUCAAAUGAUAUAAAGCCCAUCACACUGGUUGAUGAUUCAGUUGGCAGCGGCGAGUUUAUGGAAAAAUCAUCUAUUCUGGAAGAGACCUUGGAUAACGGAAGUAUCAUCUCUGGAAUAAGUUAUGAUUAUGAUGACUCACAAUCUGCCUGUUCGCACACAGAAUUUGACAUAGAUGAGUGUGUUGAAGCGUCUGUGGACACCUCAAAUAACUCUCUGGAUGCCACUUUCUUUCUGGAACAGGAAAUAGCUGAGAAGCCAGAAGAUGAGCGCGGUCCCUGUCUAGCAGAUGGCGAGGCAGCAACAAUGGAUAAUCAGGUUGCUGUUACCUUCUGUCUAGAAGAUGAAAUUUCAGCUUCUUGCGAGGACGAUACAACUCUUCAAGAUGAUGAUGCAACUACACUUAUGGGGUAUCAAGAGCUAGAUGUUUGCAAUUUCAAUGAAGUACAAGAUGAAACAUGCAAGGACAAUCAAAAAAGUUCUGAUGAAAACAUUGCUGUCAAGAUGGAAGACGCGAAAACAAAAAUAGAUUGCUGUGAACAAGGAAAUGAAAAUGAUCAUGGCAGUAAUGAUAAACAAUUGGUAGUGGAUGCAGAUCUCAAGAGAACUGAAAGCGCUUCUGGUGUCAAAGCAGAUUCAACAACUGAGGCAUGUGAGGAAAAGCUGAACCAAA
rnacentral:lncRNA from 1 species